UUAAAAUCAUGCACAUCAGUAUCACAAGCUGCAAAACUUAAGCACGGCCUUUGAAAAUAGACACCUAAUCAAAUAAAGAAAAAAAAAGACUUAAUCACGCGGUUCAGUAAGAAGGAGGUAUCAGUGAUGUCAUGCCCAUAUUUUAUCAAAAAUAUAUUGCCUGUAGAAAGUGAAUGCACAUUUAACUUUGUUUUAUUGUAUAAUUUAAUUUCAAAAAGUUUCCAUCAAUUAUUGAAUAAGUCAUUUUCUUAUGCAAGCUCUUGUUUUCUACCAUUCUUCACAAUUUCAUGAGAUUUUUCUUCUCCUUUCGCAGCUCCUUAAAAACUCUCCCUCCCUUGCUUUCUGUUAAUUAUUGAAGAAAUUGACGCCCCUGUUUUGUUCCUUAAAGUGACUUCGUCCUUUUUUUGCCUUUUGCCUCGCAAGUUCUUAAUGUGUUGCGUAUUUUUUAUAUUUUAAUUUUUAAUAUCAACAUACUACAAAUAUAACUGCACAAAAAAUUAAAGGAAAAGAGAAAACGAAUGCACAAGGUGUUUGCAUGAAAUGGAAUCACCGACGAGACCUAAAAUGAGCCCAAGCAAUCAAAGCGUAAUCAGGCCCAGCCCGUCUCAAAUAAUUAGGACCAUCACAACGUCAGGUCUGAUCACGAUCAAAACAGCUGGAUCUAAAAUUGACUCUUAUGGUGCAUCGGCAGAUGGAUCUCCAACCAAUCAGUGCGAUGAAAAUGAAUUAAUUGAAAGAUGCGAAGCAGACAAUGACGAUGAAAGCUGCGACUCUCCGCUCGGUAUCCCUCCGGAGAAGGACAUAAACAGCGACCAGACAGCCGCGAAAAAUCUCUCGGUCUAUUCAAACAUGGUGGAAAACGGGAAAGAAAGCAAAGGAGAGAUGAUGGAAACGACGAAAAACGACGAGCAAACCUACUACCUAAAGGACGAAUCAUCCUCAACUGGCAAAGAUCCCAACGGAGAUCCGGACGGAGAUGCUAAGUUCAAUGACUACGAUGAAAAUAUGGGAAGCAGCGAGAUGAAAGAAGACACCGUGGAAAACUAUAAAGAACCCACGGCAGAGACGCAGGAAGAUGAGAAGUUCAUCGGCGAGCCCAGUCACCAAAUGGAGGGUGAAUCGGGGGAACAGUACAACAACUACCCCAUCAAAUUCACCCCCACGGCUAAAAUCAGGCCGACCGAGCAAGGAGAGUUCCACGAACAGCAACACAGUCACCAACCAUCGCAACAGCACAGUCAUCAGCACGAACAGUACUCGGACUUCAAAAACCAGAUCCUGUACUCGCCGCUCAACGGAGAGGAAAUGCACGCGACGACGGAUUUCUCUACUGCGGCCAGCAUCCUCAGGUCCAACCCGGAGCGGAUCAACAUCCACACGACGGCGGCAUCAACACCGACCACAUCCUCGAAAACCGAAGAGCAGCAACAGACUCAACACCUCAUGGAGCGACAGGUCAAGCUGAGCGACAACAACUCAAACUACGCCGUGUUGGAGUCGACCAACAGUAUGGAGUACACGAACUACGAGAAUCAGAAUGUUACCUACACGUCGUCGCCGUCCCAUUUCUACCACCACCAUAACCACAACCACCAUCAUCACUCGAUACACAAUAUCGGCUACCCCGGGGAGGGCAAGAACGUCAACAUGCACGGCAACGAGCAUAACGACAACCCCUCGGCCAUCUACUCGAUGAAGAUCAGCAAUCCGGAGCACAAUAUCAUCAGUGUCAAUAACUCGCGGUACCUCCAGAACUUUGACGAGGUCAAUUCUCAGGUCACCUUAUACAGUCCUACGGGGACAAACUUCAUCACGAAAUCCUCGGGGAACAGCAACGAAAACAUGAACCAUGACUCGUACUGGAAUAACAACAGCUCGAACAACACGAGCAGCGGUAGCAACAACAACCACCACAACAACAACAGCAGCACCAACAGCGUAAAUGGACACGAAUCGGCCGACUCGCCGGGCGUCAUCGAUUACGUCACUGCGGGAGGGGCGCAGUCCUCUUCCGGGUUCCCGGUCUCCAUCGCCGGGAACCUCCCCGUCAUGUCCAUCGAGGCCAUGGUCCCCAACAACGGAACAGCAUCCACAUUUCCGCCAACGGGACCCCCUACGCCGUCUUCGGACACAAUUCCUCGUCCAACUGGAUCGGCGAAUAUGACCCGAAUGGAAUGUUUGGAAUGGAUAACAUCAAGGAAUGUGUAAACUGUGCUGCAAGUACCACUCCUCUGUGGCGAAGGGAUGGCACGGGGCAUCAUCUGUGUAAUGCAUGCGGUCUGUACAAUAGAAUAAAUGGUGUGAAUCGACCUCCAAUCAGAACAGUCAGAAAAAAUUGCGCAGGUAAACUUUCAAACGUAUUUCUUGACAUUCAAAAUAUCUUGUUCGCACUCAAUUUUUUCAAGCUUGCUAUUUUUUUG
rnacentral:lncRNA from 1 species